UAUUUUUAAUUAUGUACAAAACAAAUCUGCCACCAGCAAUCUUAGUGCCCCAGAAAUGCUGCUUACCAAACAACCACAAAAGCCCCAUGUUUACAAGCACAUGGUUGAUUGCUCCUUCUGGUGGUCAGCAGGUCAGCUCCUUGGAACUUGUUCAUUUUGCAGGCGGCUCCAGGGGAUGUAACGCAGGCAGUGAAAGUGGCAAUAGAUGUGGGAUAUUGGCACUUUGACUGUGCAUACCUGCACGACAAGGAGAGUGAGGUUGGAGCUGAAAUCCAGUGUAAGAUAAAGGAGGGCACGGUACAGCAGGAGGACCUGUUCAUUGUCAGUAAACUCUGGUGCACCUACCAUAAUAGGCCCUUGGUGAGGGCAGCCUUCUCCCAGACUCUGAAGGCCUUGCAGUUGGAGUACUUGGACCUCUACCUCAUACACUGGCCCAUGGGUUUCAAGCCUGGAGGAAAAGACUUGCCCUUGGAUCACAGUGGCAUGGUGAUCUCGAAUGUCACCGAUUUCCUAGACACGUGGGAGGUAUGCUGGGCUAACCAGCAGCGUCUUCAUGCUACUGAUGGGCCUCCAAAUGGGCAGCCAUAAGAUCCUGAGCCUCAUGUGUUCAUUGACACCAGGUUGUCUCCCUGAAACACAGGUGUGCGGGUGCAUUGGGAAGGGACACCUGACCGUGGCUCUCAGAGACCUCAGUCUCCUUUUGUUCC